rnacentral:lncRNA from 1 species
ACACACAAUUUGAGGUCCUAUCCUGGAUGGGAGCCCCGGAAGAAAAGACCUUUCUUCCAGUUGCUGUACAAAUAUUGCCAAGUUGUUCCAGUGUAAAGACAGAUUCCAUAAGAAGAAUUUCUGGACAAGUUAUCACACAGUUUCAGGACCGAGAAGUGGAAGAAAAAGCCAUUAAGGGGUGAGGAUUUGAGCAGUGAAGAUACAAGCCCUCAAGAUAUGAACACUGAAGUCUGAAGUACUUGGCCCACAGCUACGCAGAUGGGAAGGGAUGCAAGCAGAUUUGAACUCUGUAAUUUCAAAACAACCCAAGUUAUUAUGCCAUACUGCCUCUCAAGCUAUAAAAGGAAAUGUCUCUGUGGG